UUUCGAAUUUGUGUGGCUCUGAUACCAAUUAUAGAAUCACACACAAGUUUAAUAAGAAGUCCUUCUCUUAUUAAUCACUCAAAAGAUCGCAAGUCACAACUCACAAUUUGCAAUCACAAUUCACUUAUAAUGCAACACAAUAUGCAUCUCAAUAUAUAGGAAUAGAUAUCUCCUAAACCUAAUAGUAAUAACACAUUCCAUAUUUCCUAAUCCUAUAGAUAGACACAAAUCAUAUUAGGAUUAGGAUAGCUUAUUACUUAAGCUAUCACCAAGCUUAAUCCAACAA
rnacentral:lncRNA from 1 species